UCCCCAUCCUCUCUUGCCUCCUUCCUCUCGGUUCGUUGUUUCAGUGUCGGCGGCUCUCGUCGAUUAGCUCGGUGGCGCCGAAGUUGAGAGCUUCAUGGGCGACAUCAAGGCGGAGGAAGAUGGGUGGUGGGAUGGAUCUGGUCGCCAUGGUGUCGGAGCUCAGCGAGAGGAGGAGUUCGACCCUGGCCCCUCACAGCCUCGCUACCUGCCUCCUCUUCAUCUCUUCUCCCUCGUGCUGCUCGUAAUCUCCAUCUCCAUCUUCGUCCGUAUGCAUCGUCCUCCUCAUCUGCCAGUCAUCCACCAUGCCCAAGGCUAGCAGGAAGAGGCCAAGAAGGGAGGCCGACCAAUGGCUCAAGCGGCCAUGGCAACGCAAGAGACGCCGCACCUGCCCCCGGCCUGCUUUACAGGCCACCAUCUCUCUAUAUCUCCCUUUUUCUAGAUUUUCUCAUAUUUGUUUCUGUGCCUGCAAGGUGUUAGAUGUAAUGUGGUCAAUGUAUAGUGCUUUGUAUGUUUUCUUGUUUAUCUUCAGAUGGGGCAACACCUUCAAUCAAGCUGGCUACUUAUAGACGUCAUCUAGGUUCCAAUUCUGUGGUCAUUUCUUUUACACACAAUGGACACUUCUUGGAAUAUGAUGCAGCCAAUUCUAUUUGUUUAAGCCCAGUUGCUUCAUUCACUUUAGGCUGAUUGUGAUGACACGAGUUCGCAACCAUUGACCUCCCUUCAACGGAACAAGGGAUCGGAAUUCUCGCGCAUGAUUAAAGAGGCGAAGCAUCUUGGCUUGGCCGGCAUGCCUUGCUUGGAUGGCGUCGAGGAAGCAGAAGCAUAGUGUGCAUUGCUUGAUUUAAACUCAUUGUGCGAAGGCUGUUUUACAUCAGAUUCAGAUGCUUUUCUUUUUGGAUCAAGGACAGUUUACAGAGGAGUCUUCA